UCUCUCCCUUGCUUAUCUUCUUCCUCAGGAAACAAAGGGAAGGGGGUGAGCCGCCUGCAAUGGAGGCCGGCGGCGCAAGGGGGCCACGCACACGCCAGGGGCUGGCUAGGGGGCCCGCACGCUGGGCCAGAGCCGGAGCCGACCGCGCCCCACUGCAGCCGCCACGCUGAGCUGCGCACUAGGGGAGGCUGUGCGCCCUGCAUUGGUGGGCUGGCCGUGCACGUGCCGUGUGGGGCGGUGCCGCCCGCGCCAGGCCAUGGCAUGGCCAUGCUAGUCGGGUUCCGCGGCCGCGCCGGCCAGGGUGCCUGACCCCGUGCCAGCCGGGUGGCUGCGCCCGCACUGGCGGCCGUGUGUGCGCCGGCGGCCGAUGGGCUUGCCGUGCCCCCGUGUGCCCACGCCCUGUUGUGCGUGCUGACCGAGCUGGGGUCACACUAGGAGGGCUAGUCGUGCGUUGGCGACUGCAUUGGGUGGUUCGUAGCCUGCGGACAGGUCAGCAUAGGACUACGGUGCAUCUCCCUGCUGCAGACGGGUUAGAAAGAGAUUUCUGAUUAUCUGUUGUAUCUCCCUGCUUGUUACGUUUGUUGAUCAGUGGGCACAUUUUUCUGUGUCCAAAUGACAAUUUAACUGAUGCAAUCCAUACCAAGAGCACUGUUUGCUUGAGAUUAGAAAGUCGUUGGGCUGCAUAUGCAUGUUCUGUCACUGAAUACUUGCAAAACAUCUCUGUAGUAAUACUAGCUCUAGGAGAUGCAACUCUAGACAACCAAUUUAGGAGUUCGUAUCUGUUCUGUGUUGACCAAUACUAUUUCAAUUAAUGGUUCAAUUGGCAUCAGAACUAUUUCCGUUGUUAGAGAAUUUCUAUAGGAAUUCUAAACCAAAUCACUGUCCAUUGCAAUUGGUUGAAAUGUGCCCGGGAAUGAGAGGGGAAAUUAAACCUAGCUGAGUUCUAAACCAAAUCACUGUCCUUUGCGUGUUUAAUUCCCUGUGUGAGGUGUUUUUUUAUAACAGGGAUCAAUUGCCUGCUGACUAUUGGAAACUGAGUAUAAGACAAUUAUGUUGUGCUCCAUGGUUCAGAUCUUUUAACUUUUCCUCAGUCAUACUUGAUGCAUAUCCAACUGGGCUUCAUUACUAGAAAUUAUAUCUUAGCAAUGGAAUAGGUGAAUUAGGCCCGAUAAUAGUUACAUCAGCACUACUCCAGAAUCAUGAUGUGUACAGGGGAAUCAAUAUCACUUAGGUUUCUUUAAAUAUGAUACUAUAAGUGUAUAACAGGUGACAAUAAUUUAUUAAAUUGCUAACAUGGUUGUUGUCAAAUUUUUUACCCUGCAAAUCAGUGAGUACUCAAGUUCCAAGAUAACGAGUUACUACAUAGUACUUGCUUGUGCCACUACUGCAACUAUAGGCCAUUAUUAGGCAUUUGGAUAUCUGUUGUGUUAUCUUUGUCAAUACUGCCUUCAGAAACAUCAGGCCGAGAUGGAAAUUAUAUGCCUUCAGAAACAUCAGGCAACAAAUUGCCUUACAUGAUGCAGACUUAAAUUCCUACUGCCAUAUUGAGAGGAAGAAUAGAAAAAGGGAGGUGCUUACAUUAACAAAGAUGCUUGUUUAUGCAGUGUUGUCGACUAAUUUAGGAAGCAAUUUGCUCAUCUUGAAGAAAAUGGUGGAAAAGACCUGGGAUUCCUAUGGUAAAAAAUGAUUUUAUCUCAUUGGUAACUGUCAAAAUGUAUACUCUGUACUCUUCAUCAUAUUUAUCUUUUUUGGUAUUACUUGCGUGCUUGCAUGGACAUAGUGGGAAAACACUGAAGCAUACAAAGAAAGACCGCACAUUGAAAAAUAUCCAUCUCCUGCACCUGUCACCUAAUCACAAUGUUUCAGUAUAUCGCAAUAGCCCUUGGUAGCAAACAUGAACCGGCUAGAAAUGGGAAUUCAUUUAAAAACUAUCGUCAUCUUUUUAGUUCUUCAUCGUCCUGGUCUCCUGGAGCAUAAAUUUUUUGGCUUUUGAUGUGUUUCUUAACUAUGGCUUUUCCUUCUUAACUAUGGUAACCAUGCUUCUUGUAUGCCGAUUUUAUGGUAAUUAUGCUUCUUGUGUGCUGAUUUGUUGCAUGGUUUGCCACCCAAAGUGAUGGAGGUAACAGGUACGCCUUCACCUAGAACUUGUCAGGGUCUAAACUUCAGAGUGGAAAAACUGAAGCAGCUGGACUGAAGCAGUUGGGUACUUGUUUAUCACUAGAAUGCCAUUAUGCCCUUUCACAUGUGCUGCUGCUCUAUGGUUUAAAUUUGAGACUUAAGACCCUACAUGUAUAAUGAAUUGGUGGAUUGAUGUAAUGAUAUGUAUUUACUAUGGAGAUGCUAAUUCAUUUGGAUCUAAUGUUUUAAAUGUUGAAAAAUUAUAUGAUGGGCUGAA